rnacentral:rRNA from 1 species
GAUGAACGCUGGCGGCGUGCCUAAUACAUGCAAGUCGAGCGAACAGAUGAGGAGCUUGCUCCUCUGACGUUAGCGGCGGACGGGUGAGUAACACGUGGAUAACCUACCUAUAAGACUGGGAUAACUACGGGAAACCGGAGCUAAUACCGGAUAAUAUAUUGAACCGCAUGGUUCAAUAGUGAAAGACGGUUUUGCUGUCUCUUAUAGAUGGAUCCGCGCCGCAUUAGCUAGUUGGUAAGGUAACGGCUUACCAAGGCAACGAUGCGUAGCCGACCUGAGAGGGUGAUCGGCCACACUGGAACUGAGACACGGUCCAGACUCCUACGGGAGGCAGCAGUAGGGAAUCUUCCGCAAUGGGCGAAAGCCUGACGGAGCAACGCCGCGUGAGUGAUGAAGGUCUUCGGAUCGUAAAACUCUGUUAUUAGGGAAGAACAAAUGUGUAAGUAACUAUGCACGUCUUGACGGUACCUAAUCAGAAAGCCACGGCUAACUACGUG